AGAGCGCAGGGCGAAUGCCUUGGCAUCAGGAGCCGACGAAGGACGUGACAAGCUGCGAUAAGCUACGGGGAGCGGCACAUACGCAUCGAUCCGUAGAUUUCCGAAUGGGGAAACCCGGCAGAGCCAUACUCUGUCAGCGUGCGUUGAAUAAAAUAGGCGUACGCGGGGAACCGCCUGAACUGAAACAUCUAAGUAGGGCGAGGAAAAGACAUCAACCGAGAUUCCGCUAGUAGUGGCGAGCGAACGCGGAGGAGGCCAAACCGGAAGACUUCGGUUUUCCGGGGUUUGGACAGCGACAUGUAACGAUAGGUUAGACGAACGGCAUGGGAAGGCCGGCGAUACAGGGUGAGAGCCCCGUAGUCGAAAACCGACAAUAGCUAGCUGUAUCCAGAGUACCGCGGGGCACGUGAAAUCCCGCGGGAACAUGGGUGGACCACCAUCCAAGCCUAAAUACUACCUGAUGACCGAUAGUGGAGCAGUACCGUGAGGGAAAGGUGAAAAGCACCCCGGGAGGGGAGUGAAAUAGUACCUGAAACCCUGUGCUUACAAGCAGAUACAGCACGUUAAUGUGUAGUAUCGUACCUUUUGUAGAAUGGUCCGGCGAGUUAUUUUACGUGGCAAGCUUAAGGUAUUCAGUACCGGAGGCGAAGGGAAACCGAGUCUUAAUAGGGCGUCUGGAGUCACGUGAAAUAGACCCGAAACCGGGUGACCUAUCCAUGGGCAGGCUGAAGUGGAGGUAAAACUCCAUGGAGGGCCGAACCGACCCCCGUUGCAAUGGUGGCGGAUGACCUGUGGAUAGCGGAGAAAUUCCAAUCGAACCCGGAGAUAGCUGGUUCUCCCCGAAAUAGCUUUAGGGCUAGCGUCAGAUUAGUUUAGCGGAGGUAGAGCACUGAAUGAGCUAGGGGCCGAUGAGGUUACCGAACUCUAUCAAACUCCGAAUGCCGCAGAAAUGAUGUCUGGCAGUCAGACAGUGUGAGAUAAGUUUCAUUGUCAAAAGGGAAACAACCCAGACCCACAGCUAAGGUCCCCAAUACAUGCUAAGUGGAAAACGAUGUGGAGUUGCGAAAACAACCAGGAUGUUGGCUUAGAGGCAGCCACUCAUUGAAAGAGUGCGUAAUAGCUCACUGGUCGAGUGACUCUGCGCGGAAGAUUUAACGGGGCUAAGCAUGUAACCGAAGCUUGGGCUUGCACUUUUAGUGCAGGGGUAGGGGAGCGUCGUAUGCGGGGCGAAGCAUGAGCGGAAGCACGUGUGGACUUCAUACGAGUGAGAAUGCCGGAAUGAGUAGCGAGAAUUAUGUGAGAAUCAUAAUGGCCGAAAAUCUAAGGUUUCUUGGGGAAGGUUCGUCCGCCCAAGGUAAGUCGGGAGCUAAGGCGAGGCCGAAAGGCGUAGUCGAUGCACAUACGGUUGAAAUUCCGUAACCACCGAAAGGUUUAAGCGCGCUGACACAUGGAGAUAGCCGAUCCCGGGCGUUGGUUGACCCGGGCGUAAGGGACCGAACUAAGUAGGGAAGUCGGCGAUGCUCCGUGGCGAGAAAAGGCGUGAGGUAUAUCUGAGGUGCCCGUACCGCAAACCGACACAGGUAGAUGAGGAGAGAAUCCUAAGGCCAACGGGAGAAGGGUUGUCAAGGAACUCGGCAAGUUGACCCCGUAACUUCGGGAGAAGGGGAGCCGGAGAAAUCCGGCCGCAGUGAAUAGGCCCAAGCGACUGUUUAUCAAAAACACAGGUCUCUGCUAAAUCGAAAGAUGACGUAUAGGGGCUGACGCCUGCCCGGUGCCGGAAGGUUAAGAGGAGAGGUUAGGGAGCAAUCCCGAAGCUUUGAAUUGAAGCCCCGGUAAACGGCGGCCGUAACUAUAAAGGUAGCGAAAUUCCUUGUCAGGUAAGUUCUGACCCGCACGAAUGGCGUAACGAUUUGGGCACUGUCUCGACAGCCCGCCCGGCGAAAUUGUUGUACCGGUGAAGAAGCCGGUUACCCGCAACUAGACGGAAAGACCCCAUGGAGCUUUACUGUAGCUUAAUACUGGAGUUUGGUAAUGCAUGUAGAGGAUAGGUGGGAGCCUUUGAAGCAGGGCCGUCAGGUUCUGUGGAGGCGUCCUUGGAAUACCACCCUUGCAUUGCUGGAUUUCUAACCUGCGGCCGUGAAUCCGGUCGGGGGACACUGUUAGGCGGGCAGUUUGACUGGGGCGGUCGCCUCCAAAAGAGUAACGGAGGCGCUCAAAGGUUCGUUCAGCACGGACGGAAAUCGUGCAUUGAGUGUAAACGCAUAAACGAGCCUAACUGCGACACCGACGGGUGGAGCAGUAACGAAAGUUGGAGUUAGUGAUCCGGCGGUAUGUGAGUGGAAAUGCCGUCGCUCAACGGAUAAAAGCUACCCUGGGGAUAACAGGCUGAU
rnacentral:rRNA from 1 species